rnacentral:rRNA from 1 species
AUAGAGACUCAGAGCUGCAUAUCAAUAAGCGGAGGAAAAGAAACUAACAAGGAUUCCCCUAGUAACGGCGAGUGAAGCGGGAAGAGCUCAAAUUUGAAAUCUUAAAGGGUUUCCCUUGACGAAUUGUAGUUUAUAGAAGUGUUUUCUGUUAGUAGAGUUUGGUAAAAGUUCUUUGGAAUAGGACAUCAUAGAGGGUGAGAAUCCCGUAUUUGGACCUUUACUUUCUAGCUUUGUGAUACACUUUCAAAGAGUCGGAUUGUUUGGGAAUGCAGUCCAAAAUGGGUGGUAAAUUUCAUCUAAAGCUAAAUAUUGGCGAGAGACCGAUAGCGAACAAGUACCGUGAGGGAAAGAUGAAAAGAACUUUGAAAAGAGAGUUAAACAGUACGUGAAAUUGUCAAAAGGGAAGCGUUUGACACCAGUGCUUGUUUUUCUGAAAAUCAAUUAAAGAACUGUUUAUGCUAAGUUGUUUAGACUUUAUCAGCUAACUGUUUAGUUUUGAGCUUUUCUUUAAUGCACUUUUCAGUUAACAAGUCAACAUCAAUUUCUUUUGCUGUAAAAAAGCUUGAGGAAGGUGGCUUGAGAUUCGUCUUAAGUGUUUAUAGCCUCUUGCCUAUGCAGUCGGAGAGAUUGAGGUCUGCAGCGUAGAUCCUUCGGGGCUAAAUGCAUUUGUGCUAAGUUAUAGCAUUUUAUAGACAACUUGUUGACUAUGAUUAGUCUUGUAGCUUACUCGCUUAUGCUAUUUUACCUACGCUUAGGAUGUUGACGCAUGAGAUAUACGC